rnacentral:rRNA from 1 species
UAGGGAAUAUUGGACAAUGGGCGCAAGCCUGAUCCAGCCAUGCCGCGUGAGUGAAGAAGGCCCUCGGGUUGUAAAGCUCUUUUGUCCGGAAAGAAAAGCAUCGGGCUAAUACCCUGGUGUUCUGACGGUACCGGAAGAAUAAGCACCGGCUAACUUCGUGCCAGCAGCCGCGGUAAUACGAAGGGUGCAAGCGUUACUCGGAAUUACUGGGGCGUAAAGCGUGCGUAGGUGGUUUGUUAAGUCUGAUGUGAAAGGCCCUGGGCUCAACCUGGGAAUGGCAUUGGAAACUGGCGGACUCGAGUGCGGUAGAGGGGUGUGGAAUUCCCGGUGUAGCAGUGAAAUGCGUAGAGAUCGGGAGGAACACCAGUGGCGAAGGCGACACCCUGGACCAGCACUGACACUGAGGCACGAAAGCGUGGGGAGCAAACAGGAUUAGAUACCCUGGGUAGUCCACGCCCUAAACGAUGCGAACUGGAUGUUGGGUGCAACUUGGCACUCAGUAUCGAAGCUAACGCGUUAAGUUCGCCGCCUGGGGAGUACGGUCGCAA